rnacentral:rRNA from 1 species
GAUGAACGCUGGCGGCGUGCCUAAUACAUGCAAGUCGAGCGAACAGAUAUGGAGCUUGCUCCUUUGACGUUAGCGGCGGACGGGUGAGUAACACGUGGGUAACCUACCUAUAAGACAGGGAUAACUUCGGGAAACCGGAGCUAAUACCGGAUAACAUUUGGAACCGCAUGGUUCUAUAGUGAAAGAUGGUUUUGCUAUCACUUAUAGAUGGACCCGCGCCGUAUUAGCUAGUUGGUAAGGUAACGGCUUACCAAGGCAACGAUACGUAGCCGAACUGAGAGGGUGAUCGGCCACACUGGAACUGAGACACGGUCCAGACUCCUACGGGAGGCAGCAGUAGGGAAUCUUCCGCAAUGGGCGAAAGCCUGACGGAGCAACGCCGCGUGAGUGAUGAAGGGUUUCGGCUCGUAAAACUCUGUUAUUAGGGAAGAACAAAUGUGUAAGUAACUGUGCACGUCUUGACGGUACCUAAUCAGAAAGCCACGGCUAACUACGUG